CCGAAACUCAUUCCGGCAAUGGAGCAAACAAUAACAAAGGAAGAAUAAGGAAAAGAGAAAACAAAGACAACCCAAAACAGGGUAUUCAAAUGCUGCCUAAACAAAUAUAUCAACUUUGCAUGUCAUUAAAUGCCUCGGAUAAAUAGAAUGCCUAAUUAGGGCAUAGAGAUUCCUUUACAAUGACAAUGUAAUUCUUCUCAUCCCAAUUCCCAAAUUUCACAUUAAUUAUACCAUCACCUUCUUCUUCAUAUAAAUAUAUAUAUGUAUUAUAUAUAUUCCUCAUGCAAUUAAUUAAUU
rnacentral:lncRNA from 1 species